rnacentral:rRNA from 1 species
AAGUUUGACCUCAAAUCAGGUAAGAUUACCCGCUGAACUUAAGCAUAUCAAUAAGCGGAGGAAAAGAAACCAACAGGGAUUGCCUUAGUAGC